ensembl:lncRNA
GUAAAUGCGAGGUUGUGCUCCGUGGAGCGGCAGUCGGCAGUCAGGGGUUGACUCCUGGCUCGUGCAGCAUCACGGUGGAUCCCGUGGGGAAGAAGCCGCUCAGAGGGUGUGACCUGCGAUCCUCCCAACUUGAAAAUCUUCCACAGAUGAGCACAGCUUUUUGACAUUCUCUGACUCUGCUCGUUCAUUUCCUCAACAUGGCCCGAGGCCCUGCCUCCUUCGUGUAGCAGCUUGUGAACAAGAGGCUGAAGUUAAAGGACAUGUGCUGCCAUUGACCAAGCGGCCGCGGCCCAGACAUGGAUUUUCCUGAUCUUUCUCAGAUCUGGGCUCUCUGAACCCCGGUACUCACACAGCUGCUACUCUGGGAUGUCUUCCUGUUGAUUUUGGUUUCCCAGAAACAAUUUCACCCUGCCUGCCUCUGGCUUUGGCAGCCUGAGACUUUCUCAAGAUCGUUUUGUCUGGUCCUUUGACAUGACUCUCCCACCUGUACUUUGCUUUUGGUAUAUUCCCUGCCUCCAGCUGAUUCUGUUUGUGAACUUAACCAUUAGCCUCGACAAUACUUGAUAAUAUUGUGUAAAUACUUAACAAGUGUUCUUAACUGAAAAAGUGUGUGUGUGUUUCCCAGGGAAAGGGUCCAUAGCUCAGUCAAAAAAAGGAAGACGCAGACAAGGACAAUGCAUGUGAAGAGCCCCAAACAGAAUAGUUUCCCCACAGCUGGUGGUUGUAGGGUUUCAUGUGAUCUUAUGAGACUAUACACACUUAGCAUGGAAAGGUGAAUGACUACAACGCGGCCACACGCCAAGCUGCAGACAGGCCUCUCAAAGUCACGGACAAAGACUCGUUAAGAAAAUGAAGACAAAUAUCCUGGGGAGUGUGUGAUAGUCCAUCUGAUUGUUUUCUUCAACCUUUAAUACUUGCUUCUGGAGUUAAUUAAAAAAUUUAGGAAAAUGGAAUAAUUGUUUUAAUGUUGACUUAGAGAAGAAAAAAAUCUCAAUUUGAAUGUGAGGUCAAAGAACGUACUUAUACUGUGCAGCAGAGUAGUCCAAUCCCUCACGGAACGCACUUCAAGCGACACAGUAGCUCCUCGUCUGUCCUCAUGCUCAGGAACGCGACACAGAAAGGCGUCUGAGCGGGAAAUGCCGCCCUCACACCCAGGAGCUCACCUGCGCCCUGCUGUGGAGCUUCAACAUUGUGGGGGACAAAGACAGAGAGUCCUGGAUUGUCUUGUCCAGUCCGCCCCAGUCCAGCCCUCGUGCCUCCCACCAAGAUUUAUCGAGGCACCUAGUCAUCAAAUUACCUGCCUCCUCAGAGCUCCUACCCAGAGCAAAGCCCUGUUUCCUGAAACUCCCCAAAUUGCCGAAGACAAGCCAGAUCCUGGAACAGGUUCUUUCUGAUACCCUCUUGCUGAGAAGCCCCACAGUUCCCAUGGUGUGUUCUCUCUUUGAUGAGUAAUGGAUCCAACUUGUGUUCUGGUGGCAUUUGGCUGGAGGAGGACAUUAAGGUCAGGACAAGUCACAGAGACGCUGACGAUUCAUUUCUUGAUCUGACUGGCGGUCGUAUCAGUGUUCAUGUGAUAAUUCAUUCAAAUAUACACUUACGUGUUGUUCACUUUCUCACGUGUGUAAUAUUUUGUGAUAAAAAUUCUUUUUUAAAAUUCUGCUUUGGAUACAGAAAUAUAUUUCUUAGCCCAGGAAUAAAAUAUUCCCUUCAGAAAAUUUACUGGGUAAGAUCAAUCACAAAUAUCAAUAAUGAUAAUAUUUUUAAAUCCUAGAAACACAAGUCUCAUGUUUAGUCAUUAACAUAGUGGGGGAUAAAAAAGAGGUGCAACAGACCAAUAUUGCAAAAGGUAGUGACAGUUUACAUCAACACAAACAUUCUGGUCUGUUUUCUCUGGUCAAAUGCCUUUGAACUCAGACUACCAAAUUCAUUCAAAUGAAUGGGGUGAAAGGACAUGAGCACACAUGUGUUUCAAUCAGAGACAGAGACACUGAGGACUUAU